UACAGAGGUCCCGAGCGUUGUUCGGAUUCACUGGGCGUAAAGGGUGCGUAGGCGGUCGGGUAAGUCUGAUGUGAAAUCUCACAGCUUAACUGUGAAACUGCAUUGGAUACUAUUCGGCUUGAGGUCUGGGAGGGGGGACUGGAAUUCUCGGUGUAGCAGUGAAAUGCGUAGAUAUGCGGAGGAACACCGAUGGCGAAGGCAAUCCCCUGGACCUGUACUGACGCUCAUGCACGAAAGCGUGGG
rnacentral:rRNA from 1 species